AUCUGUACAAUCUAGCCUAACAAUAUAAACAAACUUGUUCCCUUCUAUGCUGAACACAUGCUGUUGUACAUCUGUGAUCUGUGGCCAUCAGACGGCUAUCAUUUAAUCCAUCAAAAUAUGUCUUGAAUGGUCUAAUGGCCUCCACGUGUCUCUGCUCCAAAUACUAUAAAAUCGGUUCCUAGGAUUGAUCGAAGAACCCAAUCUUUGUCUGAUAAACUUAAGAGCUAAUAGAAACCCCCAACUUAGAAAGUAUUCUACUUAGAAAGUAUUCCAUGAUGAGAAGCCCCAGAGAGAUACUUAGUGAAAAGAUCAGCGAGUUGGUGUUCUGAAGGAACAAAUCACAAAGUUAUCAGGCCGGAGAGGUAUAGCUGUCAAACAAAGUGACAGUCAAGCUCAACGUGCUUCGUUUCUUUCAUGGAAGACGGGGUUACCAGUUAUAUGAAUGGCAGCUUGACUAUCGGAGUAAAUGGGAACCGGCAAAGAUGGUGGAACUGAGAGAUCCUCGAGUAAUCUGAUGAGCCAAGUAAGCUCCGAAGUAACUUUCCUCAUUGAUCUAUACUCGAUUUCUGUGGAAGAAAGGGAAAUCGAAGCUUGCUUCUUCGAUUUCCAUGAUAUAGGAGCAUCCAGUGGCGGAGUCAGGAUUUUCAUCCAGGGGUUCAAAAAUUCUAAAAGGUAAGUAUACGAAGAAGUCAGGUUCAACAUCUAUUAUAUAUGCAUAAUAAAAUAAUUUUAACUUUGAAAAUACACUGUAAUUUUUUUUCGAGGGGUUCAUAACCCUGGGAGCACCCCCAAGAGUUAUGUAAAACCCAUUCACAGUCACAGAUUGGCGAGAAUCCGAACAAGAUGCCCAAUUAGCAUUGCAAGAGGCUAAGAGGGAAAAAGAUGGGUUAGAAGAGUGGAGAAUACCCUACCCUGGGUCCAAUUGAAGGUACUUCAAGACCCGUAAAUCAGCAGAGAAAUGAGAAGAGCUGGGAUUCUGCAUAAAUUGACUGAGUUUCAACACUGGAAAAGCCAAAUCCGUACGAGUAUGGGUCAGACACAGAAUGAAUUCUGAUGGAUUUUCUCGAGCUCCAAUUACGCAACUACAACUUUUGUGUACGCAAAAUGUGAAGGUAACUUUACAGGUUUUCAGGCUGGUAGGUUUCUGAAUUCAAGCGAGACAUCCACAGACAACUUGUGGAACGAGCAAGCAUUCGUCAAAAAGUUCAUCGGAAGCACUACUCUAUUGAUGAAAAGGGAACUUGCUUCAGAUUCAACAUUAAUCCUUAUAGCAUGCGAUCAGCCUCAAGAUCAAGAACAUCAAGCAAUAGUGUAAACUAUAUGUGCAAGAGAAGAAGACUUGGAGUCCCAUUUAGAAGGUUAUAUAUCUCGUGACUCCUAUUAUCAUUCAGUAGCAAGUAGUAAUAGUAUCACUAGCCAUUAGAAACAAGAAAGUUCCAAUAGCAUUCUUUUCGUAAGGAGGACGAAAGAAGCCGAGUUCUUGUAGAUUCAAGAUGAACAUAAUAGGCUUAAAAGGUAAAUGUAGUGAAUCGCCACGAGCAGUUUAUGUGAGUUCGAGAAAACUGCUCGUUUCGAUUCACAACAUGUACCUUAAAGCCUAUUAUGUUCAUGAAUCUAGGAAGAACUCAGCUUCUUUCCUCCUUAAUGAAAAGAAUGACAUUGGAACUUUCUGGUUUCUGAUGGCUAGUGAUACUAUUACUACUUGUUACUGAAUGACAAUAGGAGCCACUAUAUAUAUAACCUCCUAAAUGGGACUCCAAAUCUUCUUCUCUUGCAUAUAUAGUUAACACUAAUUGAUUGAUGUUCUUGAGCUUGAGGCUGAUCACAUGAUACGAGGAAAAUAUUGAAGCAAGUGCCCUUUUCACCAACUUCUUGUCGCCAAAGGCUGAUCACAUUCACCAGAAGUACUACCUCUUAUUCUUACUGUCAUAUCCUCGCGUUGCUACAGUCUUGGAUGAUCUUUUAUGUUCUAUUGAGAAUAUAUAUUGUGGAGAUGGUGCAAGGGUGGUUAGGGGCUCAUCUUUACCAAAAAAAAAAAAAAAGGGUGGUUAGGGGCUCAUGAAAUUCUUCUAUAAGAUCUAGAACAUAAAUUUUAGUAAAAGAAGCAUUCUAAAGCCACUGGUUAAUUGCUUAGUUUUCAGAAGAUCUUGGUGUUUCAACAUUCUAUUUCUUCCACACAGGGAUUGUGCCAAGAAACAGUACUAACAUGCAACACUGAGAAAACAAUUGUUCUAGAUAGUCAUUUUAAUUCUAUUGAAGUAAAUGUUCAUAUCUCA